CAACAAAUAUCUGAGGCAUGAUCGACCACACUGCGCCGCCAUUUUUGUUGCGGAUUCAAAAUAUGUCCGGCUUAACACGUGCUGCUGAAACACAGUACCGGUGGAUAUAUUCCCAUAAAAGUGUAACCACGGAAUCUUACUCGGGUCGCAGUGGCAGAUCCGUGCAGGUGAAAUGGGGAGUCGCGUGACAUGAAGGCAGUCACAAUUCUAACAUCAUGGAAAAUGAAGAUAGUGACUCCACUUCAGCUGUUUCUGUGAAGCGCAUGAAGGACAACUGGCAGAGGUGGUCUGACAAGCACCAGGAGUACCAGAAGCAGAACCCCUUCAGUCAAGCUGCCACGCCCAGCACAGUGGUCCCUCAUAGGGGCCAGGAUGACUAUGGAAGGCCCAUGCAGGGCUCAAAGACAGAAAAGAGGGGUAACGAUGCUAACACGCACAUCAGCAGAGAGGUUCAGGAGCUUUGCAAGGUGAUAAGGAGCAUUGGUGAGAUGAGAAAGUCCAGCAGUGGUGGAGACCACAUCACUGUACUGUUUGGGAAACUGUUUGAGCAUUAUGUGACUAUCUCUAACAAAUUAGUGGGUAUUCUGCUACAAGCGAGAAAGCAUGGGUUGGUUUACUUUGAGGGUGAGAUGCUUUGGCAGGGGAAGGAUGACAAUGUUACAAUUGCUCUCUUGUAGUGACCCAACACAUCUUUAAUAGUUGUUAUUUAUCCUCUCAUUCACUGUGGAAUUACACUUUCUUUAAAAAAGAAAUAUUCUGCAUUUUCUGUACAUAAUCUUGAAAGACUAGACAAAUCUGACACGGUCCUGUAAAAUACCUUUGCUGGUAGAAAUUUUAGGCUGAAAAAUUGUUGAUCUUCAACGUAAGCACCAAGUGAUGCUCUUUAACUAAUGAAGGGGGAGUGCAGAGAGAGAGGCUGUAAACUAACACCAGUGCUAAAGACUACAGGGACAACAUUACAAGAGGAUAAUGUGGCUGAAAGGACUCACACUGAGAGGCAGCAAUAAAUUAUUUACCUUUAAAUUAGCACUUGUCAAAGUCCAUAUAAUUACAGUGUAUUUAAUUCACAUGCACAACCUCUAUUUGCUCAUAUACUUUGUAUUAUAACACUGUUAGACAUUGCAUUAGAUCAAACAUGAGAUGAGGAAAAAAAACACAUUGAUUUCACUGCUCUUUCAUUUCAUUGUCACUCAGCCUUGAUUUAUGAAUGUGUCACUGUGUGCCUUUUUAUAAAUAGCUGCUCAUUUUGUAUGUUUUCACAAUACUUUUAUGCAGAAUAUUAUUUUUUACAGUUGACAAAAACAUCACAUGCAAGAAACCAGGUGCAUCAUGACAUUUUUGUCACAGUAAGAUUUUGAAACAUUUCUUUGAUUUCAACAUUAAGUACAAUAAAGUACAAUUCA